CCGGAGCCGGAGGGAGUCGCAGGUGGGAACUCGCGGCGGGGAGUCCGCGAACCCGUCGCUUCCGGUGUGCGACCCGGUGGCCCAAGGGGACGGACCGACGCGCGCUAAGUGUGGUUGAUGGUGAGGUCCAGAUAGUAGAAAAUCUGAUGAAGCCAUGCGGUGGAGCCAAAGAAUACUUACAGUUCUUUGCUACAAAGCUAUAAUGGAAGAUCAUGAGAAGCUAUAGUGACCUUUCAAGUCAUCACCCAUGCAGAGAAGACUGGGUGCUGAAAUAUCUUUCCAGUCCUGACAUGAAGGAAUACGGAUGUGUUUGACGUCUUCACUUCCAGGAAUGAAGCCAAAUAUUUUCUUUAUGCGCUGCAUGAUGAGGUGGCGCGAGUGCUGCUCUGCAGCUUGUUCAAAGAGCUCCCUCUCGUUGCGGAGGUGGUUGGUCCAGUAGCAGUGCUGCAGAGGUGUGAGGGGAGAGCAGCAUCUCACCAAACAGCGGGAGACGAGGGUAGCGAUAGCUGCCAAGGUGAUUAAAAUCCAGCCCAGCAUCUUCGUGUGAUUGUUUAAAAGGAAAACAGAAAACAUCAAUGCAUCGAAUAUUAAGAAACCUCCAUGUAGAAGGAAUUCCUAUAAAACUGAGAACCAUACUGUGGGCAAGAUAUUUGUUUUUCUAGUUUUUAACAUACUAACAAGGUGCUGAUCGUUUGAUAUGAAUAUGGAUGUGAUGAAAGUAUAGGCCCAACCAUUUCAGCUUUGUUUAUGAAUUACAAAGGAGUUAACUUGGAAUGGAUUUUAAGUAUUGCCCUUGAAACAGCAGAUGCUAUAACCCACCACUUACCUUUGCAUAAAGGUACAUAAAACAUGUUCUUGGUUUUUAGUUCAUCUUUACUUUCGACCAUCAGGUAGAGGCCCAUGCAUUCUCUAGGGGCUAAAUAAGUAUUUGAUAAUGAUGGUGAUGAAAAUGAUAUGAUAGAUAAUAAUGGUAGCCUCCUAAGG